rnacentral:lncRNA from 1 species
AUGUUCGCACAGUGUUCCCACAGAUGUUAUCACAGAUGUUCUCAAGAUGUUCUCACAAUGUUCUCACAGAUGUUCUCACAGAUGUUCGCACAGAUGUUCCCACAGAUGUUCUCACAGAUGUUCUCACAGAUGUUCUCACAGAUGUUCUCACAGAUGUUCUCACAGAUGUUCUCACAGAUGUUCUCCACAAUGUUCUCACAGAUGUUCUCACACAUUUCUCACAGAUGUUCUCACAGAUGUUCCCCAG